GAAUGUCUCUGGAAACUUUCGAAAUCGCCGCCGUCCAAGCUCUGUUGGCGCUGCAGGGAUCGAUCAGCUUCCCUCCGUUGAGUGAGAUGGGCAUCGCUGAAAUAAUCGCCGCAGAAGCCUUAUUACAGCUUCGGGGAAACGGAAUUCAGUGUCCUCCAAAGACUCCUACGUUUCAGGAAACAGAAGAUCUGGGUAUGUCAGAGAGGCCUUCUUCAGUAACAGUGGACGAAAGCAGUUCGUCGAAGACGACGGAGGAAGAAGGCCCAACGACGAGUCGUAAACGGACUCGCAGUUGCACUUCAGAGUCAUCAGACCAGAUUUUAAGUGACGAAACUGAGUUUUUACAUGCGCCGGAGCCACUGGAGAAGAAUAUGAAUGUCUCUGGAAUCUUUCGAAACUUUCGCCGUCCAAGCUCUGUUGGCGCUGCAGGGAUCGAUCAGCUUCCCUCCGUUGAGUGGAGUCAUCAGGCCAGAGCGUAAGUGACGAAAGUGAGUUUUUAUAUGCGCCGGAGCUACUGGAGGAGAAUAUGAAUACAAUCGGCGAUGGAAACGCAAAAAUCCCAGUGAAAAUUUACACUUCCAUUAAGUGGAAUUCGUAUACGAUGGCUACCAGGAAACUAUCGACAGCCGUAUUUCCUCGACACAUUCUCGCAACACAUUCUCUUACUGGGAAAUGGUCACCAGCG